GGGGACGGGGUGGGGGGAACGAGCAACACAGACAGCGCGGUCGGGUUUUGGGGGCAGCUGGAGGGAGGAUUCGGCACCUCCCAGAAGCUGAGGCACCGCGGAGCGUGGGCGCAGAGAAGAGCGAGUUAAACCUUGCGGGCUGUGCAGGAGGUCGGCGGCCGGACGCCAGCAGCUAAAAGAAUUGGCAAAUCACGUGACUUCCUACACUUUGAACCAUGGCACUGCCGUUCCGGAAGGACUUAACGGAGUAUAAGGACCUGGAUGAAGAUGAGCUCCUUGGCAAUCUGUCAGAAACAGAGCUGAAACAGCUUGAAACUGUCUUGGAUGAUCUGGACCCUGAGAAUGCCCUUCUGCCUGCAGGGUUUCGGCAGAAGAACCAGACAUCAAAGUCUGCCACGGGACCCUUUGAUAGAGAACAUCUCCUUUCUUACCUAGAGAAGGAAGCAUUGGAGCAUAAAGACCGGGAGGACUAUGUGCCCUACACUGGAGAGAAAAAAGGGAAAAUUUUUAUCCCCAAACAGAAGCCUGUGCAGACUUUUGCAGAAGAAAACAUAUCCCUUGAUCCAGAAUUAGAAGAAGCUUUGACAAGUGCCUCUGAUACAGAAUUGUGUGACCUUGCAGCUAUCCUUGGGAUGCACAGUCUGAUUACAAACACACAGUUCUGUGACGUGAUGGGAAGCAGUAAUGGUGUCGACCAAGAACAUUUUUCAAAUGUGGUAAAAGGUGAAACAAUUAUUCCGGUAUUUGAUGAGCCACCAAAUCCGACCAACGUUGAGGAGAGUUUAAAGAGAAUUAAGGAAAAUGAUGCCCGUCUUGUUGAAGUUAAUUUGAAUAAUAUAAAAAACAUCCCAAUUCCAACUCUAAAAGAGUUUGCCAAGGCUCUGAAAACCAACACACAUGUGAGACAUUUCAGUCUUGCAGCCACCAGGAGCAAUGACCCCGUGGCUGUCGCAUUUGCAGAUAUGCUGAAAGUAAACAAAACUUUGAAGAGUUUAAAUAUGGAGUCCAACUUCAUCACAGGCACUGGGGUUUUAGCACUGAUCGAUGCUUUGAGAGACAAUGAGACCCUGACAGAGCUCAAGAUUGACAAUCAGAGGCAGCAGUUGGGCACAGCUGUAGAAUUAGAAAUGGCCAAGAUGCUUGAAGAGAAUACGAAUAUCCUUAAAUUUGGGUAUCAGUUCACACAGCAGGGACCCCGAACCAGGGCAGCCAAUGCUAUAACGAAAAACAACGACUUAGCUGUCCGUUGAAAUACCUCUGCCUACUCGCCAUCUCUCCAGCUAAGAAGCGUCACAGCUAUAACAGAAAAGAGUGCGCAAGAGGCGAAUUGAAGGAGACCACCAAUAAGAGUGCCAAGGGUAACCUUUGGAAGCCUGCAGAUGACCAGAGGCUCCUGUUGGUGUCAACAGAUGUAAAAACUUCCUGGGUAGAAGGGAAAAGACUGGAAAUCCUUUUUUUUAACUAUAUGCAUUAUUCUCCUAGCUUAAGAUAUUAUGUUUGAUUUGUAAAAUCAGUAAUGGGUAGUAUUUUAUAUUUUUAGCCUUUCUACUGAAAUCAUUUUAAUUUAGCUUAAUUGAAUGGUUCGUAUUUUUUAGAUAAAAAUGCAGUUAUAAGAAAAGUUUCAGGCCGGGCGUUGGUGGCACACGCCUUUAAUCCCAGCACUCGGGAGGCAGAGGCAGGCGGAUCUCUGUGAGUUCGAGACCAGCCUGAACUACCAAGCGAGUUCCAGGACAGCCUCCAAAGCCACAGAGAAACCCUGUCUCGAAAAACCAAAAAAAAAAAAAAAAGUUUCAGAAGUCAUGAAAGAAUAAUUUGAACACUUUGAGGACCAAUCUUUUUAAAGCAAAAAGGGACAUUGCUCACUCGGCGAUAUUAAUGUUGUUCCUUGUAGAUAAAGGAUAAAGCACAUGGUGGUUUCCUUUUUAAAAAACAAAAAAAAUGCUGGGUGGUGGUGGUGCACGCCUUUAAUCCCAGCACUCAGGAGGCAGAAGCAGGUGGAUCUCUGCGUUAGAGACCAGCCUGGUCUACAAGAGCUAGUUCUAGGACAGCCUCCAAAACCACAGAGAAACCCUGCCUUGAAAACUACCCCCCAAAAAAGCAAAAUAAAACCAUGAAUUUGGCAAGAGUUUGCUUUUUCCUUAUUAUGGAAGUAAAAUUUCAGAAUUUUAAAAGAUGGCUCAGGAUCUGAUAUAUCUACAUAAGCCAAAGCAGGUCUCCAGGAGAUGGACCAAUCCUCCUCUGGGAAACCAAACAGUCCUCUUCAUUGAAGGUUUCUGUACUCAUCCAGUGGGCCUCAGCUACACUGGGAUUUGUUUGUUUAUUUGCUAAUAGUCUUUAAUUCAGCCCUACUGCCUACCUUAUUUAAAAAUAUAGUUACAUCUAAGGUUACUACAGUAUUUCAUCUUGCUGUGGACAUUACAUUUCUGUAAAAGCCAAUGGUAAAAAGCAUCAAAGUAGAGAGGUUAUUUUCUUCCCCAUAAAAAGGCUCUUGACCAAUACUCAGUUACUUAGAGUAAAAGAAAAAGAGAAAGGUAAGGUGCUAUUAGAUAUAAGAGGGGGUUCAAACCCAAGAAACUCGCAAAACGGCCAUUAAACUGAUGAGUACUGUCAGUUAGAAACUAAAACAUGAGCUAACGAUGAUGGUCGCUCCUGUAAACCUAGCACUUGGGAAGCUGAGAAAGGACUAUUUCCAGAUGUUUGUAGCCAGCCUGAACUAUAUAGGAAAUUCCAAGUUAGCCUGGGCUACAGAUGUGAGAAUCUGUGUCAAGAAAAGAAAAACCUUGUACCACAUGGUAAGAUGUUCCAUAUGUGAUUCCACAGGUAUAAAGCAGCAUUGUAGUUAAUCCCCACUCCACAGCAUUCCAGCCAAUCACAAAAUCUGCUGUUCCUCAGAAGUCCAACUUUAGUAGAUGCUUCCUUUCAUCUUGUACUUUAAAAAAUUCUAUAGCAUAGGUUACCGUUAUCACCCAGGCAUUAGGGUGAGGAUUUGAGCAGUGUACUGAAGAGUGGCAUUGGGCGAGGCUGCACACUGAUACCUGCUUGAGGAUUUGGGUUUGUGUCUAUGCCCUGUCCCAGAGCAGCCCCUGCAGAAGGAGUAAGAGAGGCAUUCACAGCCACAAACAACAGCCAGGAGAAGGUCCAGUGAGGCAUGACAAAUCGAGUUUUGCUUAUACCACUUCAGUUUUGUAAUACAUUAUAUAACUGAAGAAAAUACUUCUUUCUAAGUAACUUAUGUAUGAACUUAUCCAAUUAAAUAGAUACAUUUUAAGAGUUAUUAUGGAGGCCAGGCAUGGUGGCACAUACCUUUAAUCCCAGCAGUAGAGAGGCGGAAUCAGGCGGAUGUCUUUGAGUUAUAGGACAGCCAGAGCUAUUACACAGAGAAACCCUGUCUUGAAAAAAAAGAAUUAUAAUGGAAAACAGUGUUUACCUUGAUCUUUAAAAGUCUGGCACCUCUUGACUUUUUAUUAAUUCGGUAUUUUCAAAUUCCUGAGAUUUUUUUAUGAUAUAGUAAUAAAUUAAGACAGUUUUAAUUAUAAGCCAGCGAUUUUCUAAACCCUUGAAGUUUAUGUCAAAUUAAAUGGUUAUCUAAGAAUGACAUUCACAUUUUAAAAAUUGCUCUUUUAAAAAUUGCCCAUUUCAUAAAACUGUGUAUUUGUAUUUGUCUUGUUAUAAUUUUCAGUAUGUCUAUAUCAAAUUGUAUACAUUAAACUCAAUGUUAGUCUCUAAUAUUAAUACCUUGAAAGUAGAUUUUGGUGCUAUAUACUUCCUAUAGCUGAAACCUACCGGAGUUUAAAGAAUAAGUAAAAUACAUUUUUCUAAAGGUGCCUGUCAUUUCAAAGACCAAAUAAACAUUUUGUGUUAAACAUA